AACGAACGCUGGCGGCAUGCCUAACACAUGCAAGUCGAACGAGACCUUCGGGUCUAGUUGCGCACGGGUGCGUAACGCGUGGGAAUCUGCCCUUGGGUUCGGAAUAACAGUUGGAAACGACUGCUAAUACCGGAGGAUGUCGUACGUCCAAAGAUUUCUCGCCCAGGGGUGGGCCCGCGUAAGUUUAGCUGGUUGGUGGGGUAAAAGCCAACCAAGGCCACGAUUCUUAGCUGGUCGGGGAGGAUGAUCAACCACACUUGGAAUGGGGCCCGGCCCAGGACGCGAGGGGGGGGAGGGGAUGGGAAUAUUGGGCGAGGGGGCGAAAGCCUGCAACGCCACGGGCGGGAGGGUGUGGAGGGCGUUGGGUUCGUAAGUCGCUUUUGCCGGGGUGUGAAUGACGGGAACGGGAGAAUAAGCCCCGGCUAACUCCGUG
rnacentral:rRNA from 1 species